AGAGUUUGAUCCUGGCUCAGAACGAACGCUGGCGGCAGGCUUAACACAUGCAAGUCGAACGCGUGUAGCAAUACACGAGUGGCGCACGGGUGAGUAACGCGUGGAUAUCUGCCUUUUGGUUCGGAAUAACCCCGGGAAACUGGGGCUAAUACCGGAUGGUUCCUUCGGGAUAAAGAUUUAUCGCCAAAAGAUGAGUCCGCGUCCGAUUAGCUAGUUGGUGAGGUAAUGGCUCACCAAGGCGACGAUCGGUAGCUGGUCUGAGAGGACGAUCAGCCACACUGGGACUGAGACACGGCCCAGACUCCUACGGGAGGCAGCAGUGGGGAAUAUUGGACAAUGGGGGCAACCCUGAUCCAGCCAUGCCGCGUGAGUGAUGAAGGCCUUCGGGUUGUAAAGCUCUUUUGGCGGGGACGAUGAUGACGGUACCCGCAGAAUAG
rnacentral:rRNA from 1 species